GGAGUCUGGACCGUCUCUCAGUUCCAAUGUGACCGUUCAUCCUCUCAGACCGGUUACCGAUCGUCGGCUUGGUCAGCCUUUACCCAACCAACUACCUAAUCGGACGCAAACCCCUCUCAAAGCGAUAAAUCUUUAAUAAUUUCACCAUGCGGUAACAUUACAACAUUCGGUAUUAGCAACCUUUCGAGCUGUUGUCCCCAUCUUUGAGGUAGGUUAUUUACGCUUUACUCACCCGUUUGCCACUAGGACCGUAGUCCCCGUUCGACUUGCAUGUGUUAAGCACGCC
rnacentral:rRNA from 1 species